AGCGAACGCUGGCGGCAGGCCUAACACAUGCAAGUCGAACGAACCCUUCGGGGUUAGUGGCGGACGGGUGAGUAACACGUGGGAACGUGCCUUUAGGUUCGGAAUAACUCAGGGAAACUUGUGCUAAUACCGAAUGUGCCCUUCGGGGGAAAGAUUUAUCGCCUUUAGAGCGGCCCGCGUCUGAUUAGCUAGUUGGUGAGGUAAUGGCUCACCAAGGCUACGAUCAGUAGCUGGUCUGAGAGGAUGACCAGCCAAAUUGGGACUGAGACACGGCCCAAACUCCUACGGGAGGCAGCAGUGGGGAAUCUUGCGCAAUGGGCGAAAGCCUGACGCAGCCAAGCCGCGUGGAUGAUGAAGGUCUUAGGAUUGUAAAAUCCUUUCACCGGUGAAGAUAAUGACUGUAGCCGGAGAAGAAGCCCCGGCUAACUUCGUACCAGCCGCCGCCGUAACAC
rnacentral:rRNA from 1 species